UUACUAUCUGCGAUAUGGAAGAUUCGAACCUGCCGCAGGUUCGGGCCGAACGCAGUGAGACAACGGAGCCGUUUACGGCGACGGCCCGUAGGGCGAGGCGAAGCCGAGUCAUCCUGCACGACCCACCA
rnacentral:sRNA from 1 species